GGUAGGGGAGCGUACUGUACGGGUAGAAGGCCAAGCGGAAGCGAGGCUGGACUGUACAGUAGAGAGAAUGCCGGCAUGAGUAACGAGAGUAAGGUGAGAAACCUUACCGCCGGAAGCCUGAGGUUUCCUGGGGAAGGGUAAUCCACCCAGGGUAAGUCGGGGCCUAAGCCGAGGCUUAAAGCGUAGGCGAUGGGGAACCGGUAGAGAAUCCGGUACCACCGAGGGCCGCAAAGAGAUGCGGGGACGCAGCGAGAUAGGUGGAGCGUGCGGUUGGUAGGGCACGUCCAAUCAGGCACCGAAGGGUACGUAGGCAAAUCCGCGUACUGGCAGGGGUCUGAGAAGGGGAGCCGGAAGGCGAAGCCACCGAAGCAGCUGCCGAGAAAAGCCGCUAUCGAGGCCUGAGGUGCCCGUACUACAAACCGACACAGGUAGGCGAGGAGAGAAUCCACAGGCGAGCGGGAGAACCCUCAUUAAGGAACUCGGCAAAAUGACUCCGUAACUUCGGGAGAAGGAGUGCCGAAAGGCCGCAGAGAAGAGGCCCAAGCGACUGUUUACCAAAAACACAGGUCUCUGCUAAGUCGGAAGACGAAGUAUAGGGGCUGACGCCUGCCCGGUGCUGGAAGGUUAAGGGGAAGUGUGAGAGCACUGAACCGAAGCCCCAGUGAACGGCGGCCGUAACUAUAACGGUCCUAAGGUAGCGAAAUUCCUUGUCGGGUAAGUUCCGACCCGCACGAAAGGCGUAACGACUUGGGCGCUGUCUUGAUGAGGGGCCCGGUGAAAUUGUAGUACUCGUGAAGAUGCGAGUUACCCGCGAUUGGACAGAAAGACCCCGUGGAGCUUUACUGUAGCCUGUCACUGGAUUUUGGUAAUUCUUGUACAGGAUAGGUGGGAGACAGAGAAGGUAGGGCGCCAGCCUUACUGGAGUCGACGUUGGGAUACCACCCUGGGAUUACCGGAAUUCUAACCUAUAGCCGUGAAACCGGCGUAGGGACAAUGGCAGGUGGGCAGUUUGACUGGGGCGGUCGCCUCCUAAAGGGUAACGGAGGCGCCCAAAGGUUACCUCAGCGCGGACGGGAAUCGCGCGAAAGAGUGCAAAGGCAGAAGGUAGCCUGACUGCGAGAGAGACAUCUCGAGCAGGGACGAAAGUCGGGCUUAGUGAUCCGGCGGCAGUGAGUGGGAACGCCGUCGCUCAACGGAUAAAAGCUACCCCGGGGAUAACAGGCUGAUCUCCCCCAAGAGUCCACAUCGACGGGGAGGUUUGGCACCUCGAUGUCGGCUCAUCGCAUCCUGGGGCUGAAGUAGGUCCCAAGGGUUGGGCUGUUCGCCCAUUAAAGCGGUACGCGAGCUGGGUUCAGAACGUCGUGAGACAGUUCGGUCCCUAUCCGUCGCGGGCGUAGGAAACUUGAGAGGCACUGCCCCUAGUACGAGAGGACCGGGGUGGACGAACCGAUGGUGUACCAGUUGCACCGCCAGGUGCACAGCUGGGUAGCCAAGUUCGGAAGGGAUAAACGCUGAAAGCAUCUAAGCGUGAAGCCCGCCUCAAGAUUAGGUUUCCCAUCCGAGAGGGGUAAGACACCUCGAAGACCACGAGGUAGAUAGGCCGGGGGUGUAAGAGUGGAAACACUCUUAGCUGACCGGUACUAAUCAGUCGAGGACUUGACCGA
rnacentral:rRNA from 1 species